GACGUAGGAGGCGAGCGUUGUCCGGAGUCACUGGGCGUAAAGGGCGCGCAGGCGGCCGGGUUGGCCAUCCGUGACAGCCCCCGGCUCAACCGGGAGGGAGCGGGUGGGACCGCCCGGCUGGAGGGUGGCAGAGGUGGGCGGAAUUCCCGGUGUAGUGGUGAAAUGCGUAGAUACCGGGAGGAACACCCGCGGCGAAGGCGGCCCGCUGGGCCAUGCCAUGACGCUGAGGCGCGAAGGCCAGGGGAGCGAACGGG
rnacentral:rRNA from 1 species